rnacentral:rRNA from 1 species
GAUGAACGCUGGCGGCGUGCCUAAUACAUGCAAGUCGAGCGAACGGACGAGAAGCUUGCUUUUCUGAUGUUAGCGGCGGACGGGUGAGUAACACGUGGAUAACCUACCUAUAAGACUGGGAUAACUUCGGGAAACCGGAGCUAAUACCGGAUAAUAUUUUGAACCGCAAGGUUCAAAAGUGAAAGACGGUCUUGCUGUCACUUAUAGAUGGAUCCGCGCUGCAUUAGCUAGUUGGUAAGGUAACGGCUUACCAAGGCAACGAUGCAUAGCCGACCUGAGAGCGUGAUCGGCCACACUGGAACUGAGACACGGUCCAGACUCCUACGGGAGGCAGCAGUAGGGAAUCUUCCGCAAUGGGCGAAAGCCUGACGGAGCAACGCCGCGUGAGUGAUGAAGGUCUUCGGAUCGUAAAACUCUGUUAUUAGGGAAGAACAUAUGUGUAAGUAGCUGUGCACAUCUUGACGGUACCUAAUCAGAAAGCCACGGCUAACUACGUG